AAAAUAUUCUUUUCUCUACCCAGACAUUAUUCAGCCAUUUUCCAGGGUAUGCUGCUCUUAGUGAAGAUUUCUGAAAGAGGAAUGAGUAUGUCUGGAGUGAAUUCCUGUUGUUACCCAUCUUUACAGAAGAGGAUCUGUCACCUACACAGGGGAGCACAGGUUGUUGUCCUAUAAAGCUGUUCAAGUUCCUCUCUUCACAAGAACAUCUUCCUGCUCUCCCUGCUGCCCAUAAACAUUAUGUUAGAUCGAGAUGAAGGUGUUGCAGCUGACAACAAAAAGUCUCUCAGGAGCUGGAUUUUCCCUCCUUGCAACUCAGGAAAAGCAGAGGGAGAGAAAAAAAAGCAGUCUCAACAUUACUUUUUCACCUUAUUAUUAUCUAUCUUUAUUUCACCAUUAUUAGUUAGAUCUAAUUCUUGUCAUGUUGACAUGGAAAUCAGAAGACGAAAUCUAGCUGAGUGAAGCACAAGGGAAGGGGUUAAUGCUUAUUGUUCUCUCUUUGUGUUAACCUAAUCAUAUGUUAACUACAAUUAAAUAAAAUCUGCCCUGCUACCAAUAUUUGAUUUUGUUAUAAGAAAAGCAAAGAUGUAAACCUGUCUGUGUAUAGCAGUCUACAGAGUAAAAUUACUGAGAAAAAAAUAAAGAAAGAAGGCACUAGAAAAGAGUUGAUCGACUAUACAGAAUGCCUUAUUAGUGAGAAUUAGCUGUCAGAUAAUUUUGUACCAGUCUUAUCUUUUUUAUUUCCAGAUGCAAAGGUUUAGGUGUGUAAAGGAGGUCUCAAAAUCCUUCAUGCUUCUUCUGUUUACCUCUUUUCUUUCUCUGUUUCUCAUUUCUAACUCAGAGUAGGCCUUUGG